rnacentral:lncRNA from 1 species
UUCUUCUCUUUUGGGCUCCUUUAUGUUCCUGAUCAUUCACGGUAGGUUGCUGAUGGCUAGUGUCCAUUUUUUAUUGUCCUGUAUCCCUGAAACAUCCCUGCAGUAUGCUUGGAUACCCUUUGAUUUCUCCUUUGCCAAGAACCCUCUCCAGGCCAGGUCCUAAAGCAGGAAGAGGACUCAUGCACUUUCACAGCCAUAGCAGGAAGAAAACUAUAUAUAGAUAAAUACACACCACACACAUGAAGGUUAUAUUUGCUUUGGACCAGACCCUCCUGCAGCAGAAGAGCCUGUGAGCAGGCAGCCUAGGACAGGCCUUUUGCUGUGGACCAUCAAGUGGAGCCAAGUGACUUGUCAGAUCUCAGAUGACCUAUAUCAUGAACCAUCUCAUUAUACUCUAUAACUGUGGCGACCUCAGCUCUGUCAUCUUCAGCCAUAGCAGCUCCCAGUUACAGGGUGAAGCUUCAGAAGGUUCGGCAGCAGGCCCCAUGAAUCAGCUGUCAGGGAGAGGAAGGGAUCCAAAUCCAUUGGCCUCUUGAUCGACUUGACACUUUUGAGAAAUGAUGGAGCAAAACUUGUGAUCCUCCUGUCUGAGUGUCUGGAGGAGCUGGGAUUACAGGUAUGCACACUGAACCUAGAAUGCUUGUGGAAUUCUUAUGGGGCACUUCCAGUG